GGCUCUACAAAGUGGUGAUCUGUUGUUGCUGCACUGAGAAUCUCAUUGCUCUGAGAAAAAAACCCCAAACUGCUCUGACCACAAAAAUGAAGGUUUGGUCUGAAGAAUGUGCAGCUAUGUGUCAGCUGUCCAGGGUCUGUGCUGCAGGGCAAGAUGGCAGCAGAGCUCCUGCCAGGAGGCUGGAGAAAGCACAAAGCACCAGCAGCUCUCAUCUGCUGCCUUUCCAACCUGCCUGGCAAGUACUGGGGUAGGUGUGAAUAGGGAUCUCCUGAAGGAAUACAAAAACAGCCCACCAGGGGCCAUCACCUUGAACUUGCCCUUUCAAGUGUUAUCUAUAAAUAGGGUUCCCCAGAGCAAUCCAGCUGGCACCCUCUAGUCAAGCUCAUCAUGAUCUCAGAUAAAACUAUCAAGUGGAGCCAGAUCUUCAGCUGCUUUAUGGAGCCUUGCCAGUUUCCACUGCUUGGGAAUGAUCUGGAGGAGCUUCUUCCCAUGCUGGAGCCUCACAGGAAAGGGGUGAACCUGCCAGUGAUGGCCGUGCUGCAGCUCACUGAUCUUUGCAGGUAGAGAGGAGGAGUUUGCUUCCAUACAGGAUGUGCUCAAGAAAUGCAAGAUGGAAAAAGAAAAAUCAAUAGUCAUUGAUGCUAAAAUAUUAAUGUUUCUUCAGAAUGAGGAAUGGAAUUGAGUGAACUCCCAGGAGUUCACUGCAGCCCUGACUGCAGCACUGCAGCGUUUGCAAGAGCGUUGGAGAGCAGAGGUAGGGCCAGCAUGGGCAGGGAAAGAAGAGUCUGGUGUGAGCUGACUUUUGUGGACUCUCUGAAGGUCUCUGACACCUUGCAGAGUGAGACUAUUUCCACAGACUCCAUGUUUGUGAAGCCCGGGAAACAGGACUCACUUUUCUGCAGCAGACUGGAGCCUGGCUGAGUGUGCUGAUGCCAUGUGGAUUUUUCCUGAGCUUACCUUGAUGAGGAAGAGAAAUGUCUCGGGGCACCAAAUACAAAGCAGGAUCCAAUAAAGGCAGCUUGGGGAGGAUGAUGAAUGAAUGUAUGGGGAUGUGCUGAAAUGACCGGGGGAAGUGCAGUGAGGAAGUAUGAAGAGAGAUGGAGGAGGUGGGAAGAGCAACAUGCAUUUUUAAACUGCACUGAAAUGGCUGCAUCUCCAACAGAAGCAGAAUGCCACUGAUGCCAUUUUUCCAAUGGUCUGAGUUCAUGGUAUGGAUUUCAGAAUGUGAGACAGUCAAGUUCCUCAAUCUUUGCAGAUAUCUGGUGAUGCUCAGGGUACAUAUGUAAGAUGUGUAUGCGACUCCCUAUGUAGCUUAUUGUAAAAUUGUGGAGUUUAUUGGCUUAAAAGAGAUGUUUGGAGAGCAUCCCAAGCUGCUGCAGGGACCCUCCUUUCCCCAUGCUGGGGCACUUGGCCAUGGUCUUGUGCCAGUACAAAUCCCCUGCACACAUUGCUGAGGUGUUUUCCAGGAGCAGCUCUUUGCUGGGUGGCAGCUCUCAGAGCAGGGUUUGCCAAUCCAGUGCCCAUUGCCUCCAGGGUGUGGUUCUGCCCUGGGAGCCCUCGUGUGCUGCCUGGGGUGAUGGUAUGAGCACAGCUCACAUGCUCCUGUACCAGCUGCCACUGCUUCCUGUCCCUGCUGUUACUCAUGUCUGGAUGAUUACCUGUAUGCCUGGAAGCACUUCUUAAGUUCUACCCUUUAAUCUCUGCCCCUCAGCGUGGGCAGCUCUUCUACAGCUGAUUCUUGCCAAUGUGCAUGAGUUCAGUUUGCCAGACUCAGAUGUGCCUCAUUUGUUGUUUAGUAUUCACCUGAUUGUUGUUGCCUUGUUGUUGUUUGGGGCUAAGGAUCUCUGGGAAAUGGUUUUGUAAAGCUGCUGCCCAGUCCUUCAAAUCCAUGCCUCCAAGUCCUGCUAUCUGAAGCAAGGUAGAAGAAGAUGAAAUGUGUGCAAAUUAAGAGAUUUAAGUAAAUUAAGUUACAUAAUCUUCUGGGGUCUAUUGACCAAAGAUGUGUCAAAAGAAAACUUACUUAUCUAGGUGCAUGUACCCAACCUCUCUCCAUCCCUGUCCUUCCCUUCCCUGGCCAGAGUUCCUUCCACAAAGCAUUGUGUUUUGUGUGCCACUUUGACCUGCAUCUCCAGCCCUCAGCUGCAUCACUUGAUGCUCCUCCUAAAUUAACAGGUGCUCUGAAAUUCACAAUUCACGGUGUGUUCAUGUGAACCCACUCUUUCUUCAGAGCUGCUUGACCCUGCUUUAGACAGCUUUAAAUUCUGCUGUGUCUGCUACCCCCAGGCCUACUUGCCCCACAGGGAUGAAGGCAAGAGAGUGAUGGAAACCUCUUGGUGAGUUGUCACUCGUCAUGGUGGCUGUGAGAUGUGACUGGAUGGGCCACAGGCUUGGUCACGCAGGAUGUGAGUCACUUGAGGGAACUGUGCUGUCCUGACAUGGAGCAAACAGGGCUGGUGAGUCAGAGGUGGCCUGAGCAUGCCAUGGUGGAGCACCAGAAAUAAGCUCAGGCUCCAUGGAGGAGCUGCUGACGUGGGGACAACAGGAAUGUCAGGAUUCUGACAGUGUGUAAGGGGGUGGCAGAGCUCCAGAUGGGGUUCCCCGUGGUACGAGCUGGAGCAGGCUGGAGCAGGCUUUGAACCUGUGCUGCUUUUAGAGCUGAAAUAGGUUUUCAUGUCUGUCUGCUGGCCCAGCAACACCCUCACUGCACUGAGGAGCCUCUGACUGCACAGAGAACCUGCCAGGGCCCAGCAGCAAGAUUAAUGCGUCUGGGAAUUUCCUGGUGAGACUUUUUGUGCUAUUUACCAGAAGUCCCUUGAAGGCAGAAAUUAUUGCAUUAAAAGAUUAAGGCAUCAUUAAUCAUAUUUUUUUUUUGUCUUCCAUUUUCUUCUGGCAGGCUGGUUCAGUAUUACUGGUAAGUUUUUUUUUUUUUUCAUUUUUUCUCCAUUCAGAAGAAUAAAUUUCUUCAAGUCUUUUCUGUGACUGUGCCAUCCUCAGGUAAGAAGGAACCUCGAGAAAAUUUUGGGCAGCUGUGUGGAAUUGCUCACUAUUGUGAACCCUGACAUUUUGACCUCCUUGCUUUCUAGGUUUCUUUUGAGUGAUGUAUAUAAUUCAUGGUUCUUCAUAAAAAUAACAGAAAUCAUUUAAAAAAAAAGUAUUUAUAAGGUAUUGUAAUUGUCCAAAGGUCUUGCCUGGGUGUGAGGGGGGCAAUGUGGGAUGGAAGGUGGUUGUAGAUGUACCAAUUUCUUCUGUGUGGUGGUAGGGGUUAAGAUGGAGGGGUUGACCUGGUGGUGGAGCUUCAGGGUGGUUCCCAGCUACGGUCUGGCACCAGAAAGAGUGUGGCUGAAGUAUAUUUAGAUGCCCAUUUUGGAAAUAUUUGGAAAAUAUGUCCUAACUUUUAAAGCAGAGAAGCUGAAAUGUAAUCAAGGAAGAAAUAGCUGCUAUGAUAGAAACAGGGUGAUUUUUAAAUUUCCUUUGGUUAUUGAGUGACUCUGCACCACGGGCCAUAGAUAUGACAAAAAUUUGUGUCCUGGCUCCCUGAUGCUUCGUUCAUUUCCAUGCCCACAGCUUUCCUUCUGUGCCGUGUCAAGGAGGGCCCUGGCUGUGCCCGGCACUACUGCGAGCAAAGCAUUUCUUAAUUUAUGUGCUAAUUAACCUGACAGAGCGACUUGAUCGUUGGGAGCCUGGGCUCCGGGCAAGCCUGUGUGUGCAGGCAGGGUUCCUUCCCGUUUAUUCGAGCUGGAGCAGGGAACGCGAGGCUGGAGCAGUGGGAGGCAGCGGCUCCGGCGGGGGCGGCGGCUCGGGAUGCGCCGAGUGCGAGCGCUGUGGAGGAUGCGGCAGCUUCAGAAAUAUCUGCUCUCAGCCUCCCCUUUCAAUGGAAGUUUUAUUUUAGAAAGUUUUAGCUAACGUCAUUCUAAAGUUUAUUUCCAUUUUAUCUUUUAAAUAAAGAGGCUGUAAAGCUCCUGGCUGGGUUUUUCAUUGCUGGCGGCUGGGAAAAGAGAGGUGAAUGGGCUGCUUGUAUCCCGCGGGGAUGCUUUAGGGGCUCUGGGCUGCAGCCUGACCUACCUACUGCCGGGACUCAUGGGGCAGUGAGGCUGCGGGGCUGCUCCUGCAGCCUCCGGAGCUGGAUCAUCCCUGUCAAAGCCCUGUCACCUGUGCCACUGUCCUGGGGCACUGGGUUUGCUUUGCUUCCGGAGCUGGAUCAUCCCUGGGACACCGCAUGCAAAGCCCUGUCACCUGUGCCGCUGGGUUUGCUUUGCUUCCCUUGCUGCUGCUGCUCCCCUAGCCUGGCCCCGAGCCUGGCCAAACCCCUGUUAAUGGAGAAGAGGUGAAUCUGUGCCUUACUGGCAGGGCAAGGCAGCUUUGUGGGGUCUGUGUCAGAGUUUUUGCCCUGGUCGCUGGCAUGGGGAGGGGGAUGCAGCAGGCACAGUGUGCCAGGGGUCCCUGUGCCAGCCCGCUCCUCGGGGAACUGCAGCCCCACUGCUUUGCAGGCUCAGGACUCGCCCUCCCAUCACCUAUUGCCACAUCAAUCUCGACUGCAUGGCUGGCCUUUCUGUGCUUUCCCCUAAUGUCUUGUUUUCUACAUGCCUGGCAUAAGAUAACUUUAAGUAAAGUCAUGUAAAAUGAAAGUCUUGUAGUUACACUUUUCCUAAAGAAGCCAAUUUUGUGUUAAGUGGGAGCAUUGCAAAGGCCAGUUCCAAAGCUGGACUUAGGCCACUUUUGGGUUAAUUUCCUGCACAGCCACAGGCUCCAUUCCUGCACCUGGGCAAGUCACUGGAACUGCUGUGGGCUUUUGAUGGAAGUUUGUGAUGAGAGCACCCAAAUCCCUUGGGUACAGGAAUUCUCUGUGUUCCCACACACGUCUCAGCUGUCCAAGUGCAGCAUUUGCCUCACGGACGUGAUGAACACAAGGAUGGUGAUGGUGUCUCUUGUAUCCUCUGAUGGUGUUUGUGCAGACUUCUCUCUUCCCUUGCACCUCUCCCCUCUUGGCUGGAGCAGUCCCUCCCCCAGGAGGUACCACCAGAGUGUGAGGGCACUUUCUUACUGGGGAGCUUUUCCAGCCCAACACCAAUGGCAGGACAUUUGGACUGGAAGCAGACUUGCUGCUCAGUUUAUUUUUUGGUUUCCUCGUGUGGAAUAGGAGAAUUUUGAGCAUAUGGAUAAAGCUAAAUCAGAAUGAUAAAGUAUUUCAUUUCAGACUGAGGGCAUUCACACUAGAAUAACUCUUCCAGAAUAGCUUAUCACAUAGACAAACUAAAAAAACUAAUCUAUUUUAACCAGAGGAAUGAAGGAGGCAUGGAGCUCUGGGUGACAAGCACAGCUCCCACAAACACAUAAAUCACAGAUCACAAUAGGCUCUUUUAGAGCUGUAGAAAUGAUAGUGCUGUUUUGGUAAUGGAACAUCCUGAUCCCAUCUCUAUGUGCAUGUACUAUAUUCAUAUUCUACACAUGUAUAUAUUCCCAUUAUAUAUAUAAAAAUCCAAUUUACAGGUGUGGGCUUUAAUUAAGAGCUCUGAUGUGUACUUUUUACUAAAAUAAUAUGAUAGAAAGGAAUGCAAUUUGUCAAAGAAACACUGCUGAAUUUAUGAUGAGAGCAGGGAGAUAAUGGGAUUUCUGAGACUGUAUGGAUGCUCUUUGCAGUCAUUUGAGAGGAGAGGAUAUGGGAGAACUUAACUGAAAAUGAGUUUUUUCUGAGAUUGUUUUAAACCUAAUGUAUUUGCAACUCCUAUUUUGUGGAUGCACACAGAUUCUUAUAUGAAUACUGAUUUUUUUAGAUCAUUUAUUGUAACAAGUAGUUUUUGCCUGGAAAAAAAUCUGAUGCUGCAGAUUCCAUUACAAUAUAUUCUUUCAUAAUGCCAGCCUGUAUUUCUUUUUAGUCGCAGCAUUCUAACAAAUUCGAGACUAAAUCUGCUGUUCUGACAUGUGAAAUGUUGCUUAAUCACUCUGGAGCUUUGUCAUGUUUUUUCCCCCUCUUUUUAAUUGGAUAAUGUGCUGAGUCCCCCCCAGCUAAUCCAUGCACAGGUUUGGGUGGAAGUGCUUGUGAUGGUUUGGAAAGCACAACAGACAUGUGACUGCAGAGGGUGGUUCAUCCAUGUAUAAUUGGGCAUAAAGGCUUGAUGAGCCCUCCUGUGCUCCUCUUGUGCAUGAAACCUGACCCCAGUGCACUCUUCAGUGAGCAGAAAUGAGUAUUUCUGCCUUCAGGCUGGCAUC